GCUCUUUAAUUAGUUUCUAACAGACUGUCCUGGCAUAGUCACUGGAAGAGUGGCUGACUCAUUAGCUCAUAGGAGAAUGAACAUUUGGCAAGGCUUCAGGGAUUCUAAAAGUAAUCUCUUAUCUAUGAAUUAAAGACUUCAUGUACCUUUUCAUAAAGGAUUAAGCUUAGUGAUAGUGGUUUGCCUAUCUAAAGAACCAGCAUUUAGUAUAUGGUUUUUCUCUGCGGAUAGGGGCAUAAUUUGCUAUUUUUCAUGAUCAGAUAUUUUAAAAGGUCUUUUUGUAUGUUGAGGCUGACUUAAAUUUGUUCUAUUAAAAAAAUAAAAUAUCUGACCUUAAUUUUACACUGUUUUCACUGUGAUACAAAGGUUUAAAGUUCUUAUUAGGAAAUGUGACUAGGCUUUCAUUAAUAUUGAAUGACAUGAACUGCAGUGGAAUGCAAAAUAUAACAGAUACUCUUUCUUUGACCCUGCUUCAUUAAAAAAUGAUUUAUUACAGCUAAUGUUUUUCAAAGCACACUAGGAAAUCCAUUUUUAUGGUAUUACAAAUUCUAAAGAUGUAGGAGAUUAUACUUAUUGGCUUUAGAAGUUUGAAAAAUUAAUCAAAUUUUUUUUGUCUACUUUCUAAAAAAAGAACAUGGGAGUAAAUGAAAUUAAUUAAAAGUAUCAUUUAAUUAGGUUCAAGUGAAUUGAAGCACUAAUCUUGGAGUGGAUAAAAAAAAGAGAUAGGGUCACCGAUCCUGUGUUAGUAAAGAUGAGAAUAGACUAUAUACGUGUGAAAGUAAAGGAUAUUCUGAAACUUAACUUUAAAGGGGAAGUGAUAGAGAAAUCUUCAGUGCAACUGAAACUUCAGAUGCUUUUGAAUUGUAAUACAUUGUAUGUUAAAAUUACCAGUCAAAUGAUUUAUCAAGAACUCAAAUAUUUCUACUAGCUAAAUCCUGUUAUUAAAAAUUUAUCUGUAUGGAUUUAAGAAAUAUGGAUAUCUUAUCUCCUAGGUUUUAGAUGCCAGUGUUUCUUGUUCAAGACAUCACGUUUAUUGAACAUGUUGUUAUGUGCAGGGUACUCUGCUAACUGCUGAGGAAAUAUGUAACAAAAUUGAAUAAAAAACAUUAUGGAACCUAAGGAAAGGAAUAAGUCACUUUGCCUAGAAACAUUGGAAAAGAUUUCUCAGAGAAGGAGACAAUUGAGCUAGAACUUGAAAAAUAAGCAGGAGUGCAGCUGAAAAUGAAAGUGGGGCAGAAGGGACACUCCUGGCUGAGGAAGCUUCAGGUAAACAAGCAUGGAAUCACAGAGGAGUAGGAUUCUUGCUCCAAGAACAGAUGAAGUUAGAAAACAAUAACCAAAGGAAAAUUGGAAAAUUCACAAAUUUGUGGAAAUCAAACAGCACACUCUUAAAUAACCAGUGGACCAAAGAAGAAAACACAUAGGUAAUUAUUAGAAAAUACUUAGAGACGAAUGAAAACACAAUGUAACAAAACUUAUGGCACAUGGUGAAAACAGGGCUAAGGAAGAAAUUUAUGGUUAUAAAUGCUUAUAUUAAAAAACAAGAAAUAACUUAAAUCUAAGGUGUAAUAUCUUAGAAUUUUACACCUUAAGAAUCUAGAAAAAGAAAAACACAGUAAACCCAAAGCUAACCGAAGGAAGGAAAUAAAGAUUCAAGCAGGGAGAAACAAAA